UGCCAGUUUAUAGAAGCAAUUAGAUCUU
rnacentral:piRNA from 1 species